UUAAAUUGAAGAGUUUGAUCAUGGCUCAGAUUGAACGCUGGCGGCAGGCCUAACACAUGCAAGUCGAACGGUAACAGAAAGCAGCUUGCUGCUUUGCUGACGAGUGGCGGACGGGUGAGUAAUGUC
rnacentral:rRNA from 1 species